rnacentral:tRNA from 1 species
AGGAGGGUAGGAGAUUCGAACUCCUGUGGCACAUUUCUGCGCCCUAACUGUUUAGCAAACAGUCCUCUUCACCGCUUGAGUAACCCUCC